UACGGGGGGGGCAAGCGUUGUUCGGAAUUACUGGGCGUAAAGGGUUUGUAGGUGGCCAACUAAGUCAGACGUGAAAUCCCUCAGCUUAACUGGGGAACUGCGUCUGAUACUGGUUGGCUUGAGUGCAGGAGAGGAACGCGGAAUUCCAGGUGUAGCGGUGAAAUGCGUAGAGAUCAUGAGGAAGACCAGUGGCGAAGGCGGGUCUCUGGACAGUUCCUGACACUGAGGCACGAAGGUCAGGGGAGCAAACGGG
rnacentral:rRNA from 1 species